rnacentral:lncRNA from 1 species
UCUAUUUACAAGCAGCUAGUAGGCUUAUAGUUUAGGAGAUACAGGGACAAAAAUAAUGAAACAAUAUCUGAUCUCAAAAAGAGUUGCCCGUCAAGAAGGAGGGAGUUUCCAUACCAGGAGUAUCUAACCAUGUUGAAAUUAUAUCAGUGGAAUCACACCACAAUCUACAGAAAAGAGAAUCAAUGUACUUGAUUGUGGUGAUACAAAACCUGAACAGACUCCCUGCCAGAAAGGAAAAUUCCAGCCUGAGUCAGAGGCCAAGCCCAACCCUCUGUGUGGCCUG